rnacentral:misc_RNA from 1 species
CAAGUCACAAGCCAACCUUGAUUUCCAUAUAAAGUCAUACCACCAAUUCAAGCCUAGCCACAAAACAAAACUAGUAAGAGUAUGCAACUCAACUUCUUUCAUUUUACUCUCCUCGUCAUAGUUGGCGUUACUGUCGCCGCCACGGCAGGUAGUCCGGCUCCUGACAAGAGAGUAGUCUCUCCUGAAAUGUCUAAGGGCCCUAAUAAUGGCCAAGGCAGCCCCAGUUCUGGAGCUACUGGCUCCGGCCAUGGCCCCAACUGGGACUACAGUUGGGGAUGGGGGUCCAGUCCCGAUAGCGGAUGGGGUUAUGGUUCCGGUUCAGGCCGCUCGCCAAAUGGGUUUGGCAGGGGUUUUGGGUUUGGGUUUGGGUCUGGAAGUGGGUCAGGAUCAGGAUAUGGUUAUGGGUCUGGCAGUGGUGGUGCACACGGUGGUGGUGGUGGUGGGUAUGGGGCUGGAAGUGGGUCAGGUAAUUCAGGUGGCGGUGGUGGUGCAGGUGGCUACGGUGGUGGUUACUGGCCGAUUGAUUCCAGAGGGAAAAACAAACAUGGGUGAGUCUAUUUAUCCAUAGAGUGUACAUGGUGUGCAAGUGCAAGCUUGACAUUAAUUAAGCUUAGAAUUAUAUAUAGCUUACAUAGUUUAAGUUUUGGGUUGUGUGUAUUAUGAUUCGUGGCUUAAGUAACCACGUUAGCUCCUCUACUGUGAAAAGGUUUGCCUAUUCUCUUACUUCCAUUUUUCUCUCAUUUCACCAGCAUCUGUAAACUUUAUUGACUAGUAUUCCUCAUCUCCUUCAAACAUCAAAGCUACUUCUUUUUUUUUU